UACAGAGGUCCCAAGCGUUGUUCGGAUUCACUGGGCGUAAAGCGUGCGCAGGCGGUUUGCUAAGACAGGUGUGAAAUCCCCGGGCUUAACCUGGGAACUGCGCUUGUAACUGGCAAGCUUGAGUGUGGCAGAGGGGGGUGGAAUUCCACGUGUAGCAGUGAAAUGCGUAGAGAUGUGGAGGAACACCGAUGGCGAAGGCAGCCCCCUGGGCUAACACUGACGCUCAUGCACGAAAGCGUGGGGAGCAAACAGG
rnacentral:rRNA from 1 species